rfam:Schistosoma margrebowiei strain Zambia genome assembly, scaffold: SMRZ_contig0000395
ACCCAACUGACGAGUCCCAAUUAAGAUGAAACGCGCGUCCUGAAU